UACGUAGGGUGCAAGCGUUGUCCGGAAUUAUUGGGCGUAAAGAGCUCGUAGGCGGUCUGUCGCGUCUGCUGUGAAAACCUAGGGCUUAACUCUGGGCGUGCAGUGGGUACGGGCAGGCUAGAGUGCGGUAGGGGGAGACUGGAAUUCCUGGUGUAGCGGUGAAAUGCGCAGAUAUCAGGAGGAACACCGAUGGCGAAGGCAGGUCUCUGGGCCGAUACUGACGCUGAGGAGCGAAAGCGUGGGGAGCGAACAGG
rnacentral:rRNA from 1 species